rnacentral:lncRNA from 1 species
AAUUUCAUUUUUAAUUCUUGAAUUAUGUUUUCUUUUAUAUAUAAUAACUUGUUUAAGUCAUAUCAAUAUCUAUCCAUCAUUUUAUUUACGAUGCUGUUUUUCUAUGAGUUUUCUCACUAUUUUGUAAUUUCAUGAGAAUUUAGGUGUCUACGUAGUACUUUUAUGCAUGAUUAUUUUUGGUAAACUUUGAAAUGUUUAGAAUAUUCAGGAUGAAAUUACUCGAAAAAAAUUUAAAGUAUCUACAUUAAAUUUUUUGUUAUUUAGUUUAGUUUUUCAAUAUUUGUCAGCAUUAUUUGUUUGUAAUUAUUCUAAAAUAGAUGAAUUCACUAUUGCAAUUUCUUUGUUAUUAUAACGAGUGCCAUAUGACAUAUUUAAAAAAAAUAUUUAUUGGUUAGCAAAAGAGUUCAUUAUUUAACAUGAUCACAAUAUAAUAGAAAUGAUUUAAAAAUAUUUUUAAUAUGAGCCUUCAAAGAUGAACAUUAAAAAAAUAUGAACUAAAGGACAAACACUUUCACAUCCUUGUUUCAAAACUAUUAAAAAAUGAUAAUCAAUAUGAUUACUAUCAUCUUCAUUACUAUAUGUUCAUAAAAUUUAUUGAUAUUUAUUAUUAUCUUUAUGGGGCAAUUUUUUUUUUUAAUUUUUGGGGUGAGGUAGAACACAAAAAUUUCGAUGAAUCUUGAAUGGUUUAUCAAAACUGGAAUUUCAUUCAUCACUUGUUUGUUCUGUAGUUGUGUCAUCUGCAUAUUCUCUUGUUUUAGUGUUUAAAACAUAUAAUUAAUUUUUAAAAAAAGUUUAAAAUAAGUAAAUCGUUCUACCAAUGUUGAUUUGGCGUAGUAAACAUAGUCACCUUGAGAAGGCUACUAUGUUAAACAAUUACGUUAAGUAGCCAAGUAAUAUGUAUACGUAUAUGUCAUUUUGAUUCAAAGACAUGCAUUUGGAGUGUUUCAACGCAUCCUAUGAUGUUCAAAGCAAACUCAGUUCUUUUGCCUAGUAUCCAUCUAAUAGGUUUCAUGUUUCCAAUAGAAGUAGCUCUACUUUAUUUUUACAAUAUGUUUUUCUUUUCAUAACUUUAAUCCAUCUCUUUCUAUAUAAAAUGUCAUUUUAUUUAUUUCGUAUUUUCAUGGUCAUUUCUUAAAACAACAUAUUAUGAUAUCAAUACAUUAUACUUUAGAAUUUUAGAGUUAAAAUAACUUAAAUAUCUAUGCAUUACAAUUUAAGUGAAUAAACUUUAUCAUAAAGAAACUAACAAAUCAACAUUGUUAAUAUUAUGAUUUAGGAUCUUAUUCAAAAUAAUAACAUUAACAAAUCAAUAAUGUAAAUGUUAUUAUUUAGAAUCUUAUUCUAAUAAUUUCAAGUGAUGUCUAUGUGUACUUAAGUAAUAGAAUAUGAAUUUGGCAUGAAAUGUGGUUUCUGAUACUAACUUAUUGAUAUCAUAUAUAAAUAUCAUAAUAAAACGAAAAUUUUACUUAAUUCGUCUCUAUAAAAUUAAUUUUUAAGAGAAAAAGUGUAACACUAGAUAAACUCUUCAGAGACU